CCUUCCGUUGCUUUGGAUUUGAGCUGUGUGUCUCGGAACACCUUGGAACCCAUCCCUGGAUCUCGACUGCCUCCCUUGAUCCUCGACCACCGCUCUGGACACGGACCUCUUGACGCCUCUCUCUGCCCCACGGGCCUUGCUUGGAUCACGGGGCCCUUUUGCCUAUAUCCCCUUUGGAUUUGUCUGCUUCCUCAUCCAACAAUUAUGUUCUGUGCCGUCACAACUCCUCCUCCAACCAUAACACGGACUCUAGGAAAAAGAAUCAGGAGACGACGUCACAACCUUUCGAACUUUACAAGCCAACUUUACAAACCAACUUUACAAGCCUUCUGUUGAUGUCCCUGUUUUCCUUCCGUUGCUUUGGAUUUGAGCUGUGUGUCUCGGAACACCUUGGAACCCAUCCCUGGAUCUCGACUGCCUCCCUUGAUCCUCGACCACCGCUCUGGACACGGACCUCUUGACGCCUCUCUCUGCCCCACGGGCCUUGCUUGGAUCACGGGGCCCUUUUGCCUAUAUCCCCUUUGGAUUUGUCUGCUUCCUCAUCCAACA